ACUUCGACUUGGCUAUCUUGUCCACAAAGCGCAUGAUCUUGCUGGGCCUGUGGCCUCCCACAUAGCUACGUGAGCAGAGGUUGGAAACGGAGGAGGAGGAGCAAGGGGGGGCAAGGAGUACGUGCUGAUGUCGGUGUAAACAGACAUUUUCUCACCCCUCGCCUCCGGGAAGAACAGGUUUGUCACUGAAGAGUUCUGGGGGAUCUUCCUCAUCCGACGAGCCAGCGCUAGACGACUCCUCAUCACUGUCCGCCAGACAGUAUGUCCGUGUCCUGGGCCUGUCACACACACAUAGACACACACUCACUGUUGCAAAAGUCAGCCCCUAAUGGCUUUGUAAAGAACUAUUAACAAUUGAAACUAAUUCCUAUUAAAUGUAUCCCUACUGAUAUAAAUCACAGUAAAUUAUUGUCUCCACUGACUGACACAAGAACUCUCAUCCAGAACAAAAUGUAUUGUUUCAGUGACAGACAUCUUUGGGCAUCUAUUCCCAAACUCACCAGUCAUUGGACAAAUCCACAGUGAAGCAUCCAGAGAGAGGAUUAGUAUAUAAAGAGAAGGGAGGAAGAGCCAACAGAAAAAGGCCCUUCGCCCUCCUUCCCGAGACGGGCCAGGUUCAUCUUGGUCUCUAGUGUCAUGAGGAAGGAGCCCGUGUAUGAGAUCUCCAGAUCAAACCACAGACCUGGGC